rnacentral:rRNA from 1 species
GGUCUGGCCGGGCGGUCCACCUUCCGGUGAGCACUGUUCCGAUGCCGGGCCUAUCCUCCUGGUGAGCCGGCAUGCCCUUUGUUGGGUGUGUCGGGGAAUCAGGACCAUUACCUUGAAAAAAUUAGAGUGUUCAAAGCAGGCAUUUGCUCGAAUACAUUAGCACGGAAUAAUAAAAUAGGACGCGUGGUACUAUUUUGUUGGUUUCUAGAACCGCCGUA